rnacentral:tRNA from 1 species
GCCUGGGUGGCUCAGUCAGUUAAGCAUUGGACUCUUGGUUUCAGCUCAGGUCAUGAUCUCACAGUUUGUGGGUUCGAAUCCCACAUCGGGCU